AACGCACAUUGCGCCCCUUGGUAUUCCGAGGGGCAUGCCUGUUCGAGCGUCAUUACAACCCUCAAGCACUGCUUGGUAUUGGGCUCCGCUGCUUAUACAGCGGGCCUUAAAAUUAGUGGCGGUGUCAUUAGGCCCUGAGCGUAGUAAAUAUCCUCGCUAUAGGGACUUGGUGAUUACUGGCCAGCAACCCCCAACUUUCUAAGUUUGACCUCGGAUCAGGUAGGGAUACCCGCUGAACUUAA
rnacentral:misc_RNA from 3 species